CUCCUACGGGAGGCAGCAGUGGGGAAUAUUGCACAAUGGGGGAAACCCUGAUGCAGCGACGCCGCGUGGAGGAAGAAGGUCUUCGGAUUGUAAACUCCUGUUGUUGGGGAAGAUAAUGACGGUACCCAACAAGAAGUGACGGCUAACUACGUGCCAGCAGCCGCGGUAAAACGUAGGUCACAAGCGUUGUCCGGAAUUACUGGGUGUAAAGGGAGCGCAGGCGGGAAGACAAGUUGAAGUGAAAUCUAUGGGCUCAACCCAUAAACUGCUUUCAAAACUGUUUUUCUUGAGUAGUGCAGAGGUAGGCGGAAUUCCCUGUGUAGCGGUGAAAUGCGUAGAGAUAGGGAGGAACACCAGUGGCGAAGGCGGCCUACUGGGCUUUAACUGACGCUGAGGCACGAAAGCGUGGGUAGCAAACAGGAUUAGAUACCCUGGUAGUCCACGCUGUAAACGAUGAUUACUAGGUGUGGGGGUCUGCCCCCUUCGUGCCGGAGUUAACACAAUAAGUAAUCCACCUGGGGAGUACGACCGCAAGGUUGAAACUCAAAGGAAUUGACGGGGGCCCGCACAAGCAGUGGAGUAUGUGGUUUAAUUCGAAGCAACGCGAAGAACCUUACCAGGUCUUGACAUCGAGUGACGAAUCUAGAGAUAGGUUUUUCUUCGGGACACAAAGACAGGUGGUGAAUGGUUGUCGUCAGCUCGUGUCGUGAGAUGUUGGGUUAAGUCCCGCAACGAGCGCAACCCUUGCUAUUAGUUGUACGCAAGAGCACUCUAAUAGGACUGCCGUUGACAAAACGGAGGAAGGUGGGGACGCCGUCAAAUCAUCAUGCCCCUUAUGACCUGGGCUACACACGUACUACAAUGGAUGUAAACAGAGGGAAGCAAAAUAGCGAUAUGGAGCAAACCCCAAAAAGCAUUCUCAGUUCAGAUUGCAGGCUGCAACUCGCCUGUAUGAAGUUGGAAUUGCUAGUAAUCGCGGAUCAGCAUGCCGCGGUGAAUACGUUCCCGGGCCUUGUACACACCGC
rnacentral:rRNA from 1 species